rnacentral:rRNA from 1 species
GCAAGUCGAGGGGCAGCACAGGUAGCAAUACCGGGUGGCGACCGGCGCACGGGUGAGUAACGCGUAUGCAACUUGCCCAUCAGAGGGGGAUAACCCGGCGAAAGUCGGACUAAUACCGCAUGAAGCAGGGGCCCCGCAUGGGGAUAUUCGCUAAAGAUUCAUCGCUGAUAGAUAGGCAUGCGUUCCAUUAGGCAGUUGGCGGGGUAACGGCCCACCAAACCGACGAUGGAUAGGGGUUCUGAGAGGAAGGUCCCCCACAUUGGUACUGAGACACGGACCAAACUCCUACGGGAGGCAGCAGUGAGGAAUAUUGGUCAAUGGCCGAGAGGCUGAACCAGCCAAGUCGCGUGAGGGAUGAAGGUUCUAUGGAUCGUAAACCUCUUUUAUAAGGGAAUAAAGUGCGGGACGUGUCCCGUUUUGUAUGUACCUUAUGAAUAAGGAUCGGCUAACUCCGUGCCAGCAGCCGCGGUAAUACGGAGGAUCCGAGCGUUAUCCGGAUUUAUUGGGUUUAAAGGGUGCGUAGGCGGCCUUUUAAGUCAGCGGUGAAAGUCUGUGGCUCAACCAUAGAAUUGCCGUUGAAACUGGGGGGCUUGAGUAUGUUUGAGGCAGGCGGAAUGCGUGGUGUAGCGGUGAAAUGCAUAGAUAUCACGCAGAACCCCGAUUGCGAAGGCAGCCUG